CUGGUAAGUUAACAAGUCAGAUAAGGGCCUAUUCUGCAAGUCAGGGGGGUUAAUUAAGGACAAAGGAAGCCAUUGUUGAAUUUUUAUCAGAGAUACGCCAUGAUCAGAUUUGCAUUCAUGAAACAUCUCUUGAUACUGAAGGGGAGCAGAUAACGCCAUCCACAAAUGUGCCACUCUGGCAUAUUAAUGUUUUUUGAAUUAAAGAUACUUUAAGAAACAGAUGAUAUAAUAAGGACACUCUGACUUCCUUUGUUCCCCUGAGAGCAGGAUAUUAAAUCCCCAGUGUGAAAUUUACCCUCCUUCUAUCAGAAGGGUAGAAGACAUCCUUACCACCAGAGAAAGAAUUUAAGACCAAGAAGGGUGCACAAACAAACCUUGUUACUUCUUCACCAAUUUGCUAUCCCAAGCCCAAACCUCUUUGUCUUGUUUCUUCAUAAAUGUAUUGUUCCCUUGCCUAAAGGGUAGAAAGCUGCCUGUUUUGUUCACUUCUUUGAGUCUCAUAUUUUUAUGGGAUCAUGUACAUAUGAAAUGAAACUUGUUUUCCUCCUUUUAAUCUGAAUUAUGUCAAUUUAAUUAUUAGACCAGUCAAAGAACCUUGAUGGGAAGAAGGGAAAAGUUUUCCUCCCCUACAAGAUCUAAAACUACUCUAAGCUGCAUUGUUUUAGAUCUCUUUUAAGGACAGUGGGCAUCCUUUUACCACCUAAUACAUCUAUCUGGAGAAUACAUUUAACUAGAUGCUUGUGACAGAUACCGGAAACCUGCAGACAGAAGAGAUGCAGUUGACCCUUGAAUAACACAGGUUUGAACUGUGCAGAUCCACUUGUAUGCAGAUUUUUUCUGACUGUACAGAGGGUUGGUGCCCCUAACCUCCACACUGUUCAAGGGUAAGCUGUAUUUUUAUCAUUUGGAACAAAUACUAUUAUAAUUCUUUUUGCAUAAGAUAUUUGAAAGUAGAAAUCAUUCUGUUCAGUUUUAUAUAUACAGUAGUAGUAGCUCUUCAGCAAAUAGUUGAAGAUCUAAGUACAAAUGAACCGAAAGGAAUGACUGGUAAUGGAGAGUAUGAAAAUAGACUAGAUGUAGGAGUUCAGUUGGUAUAAACAGAAAUAGUGAAACAGCCGGCAAAGAGGAGGUAUAGAUAAAUGACUGUUAUUUUGAUGAAAAAUUUUGAUGGCAGGUAGGAGUUUUGACGUCUUAAAAAUCAAAUAAGUUUUCUGUGCUGUAUAUUAUGUUAGAUGGCUUAGCAUGAAAUUUGAGUAGAAGAUAGAAAUGUAAUGCUUAUACCUACGAAGUCCAGGCCUAAGGAAUGUCAUAGUUAGUUUUACAUUAACUGAAAGAGUAAAACCAAAAUAUUAACUGCUAACUAGGGUUCUGAUUAUGCACAAUUCUUUAUUUGAGAAUUUUAAUAGGGAAAUAAUUUUUAAAGCAGGAAAAAAUUAAUUAUGCAUCUUAAUGAGUACUCCCAGAAAAAAUAAUGUUCUGCAACUAUUAAAUGGAAAAAGUAAUCAACUAAGAUGACCAAAAAACAUCCAAUGAAAAGUGAAUGAUGUUCACAAAGUUAUACAGUAAGAAUAGAUAAGGUUAAAC
rnacentral:lncRNA from 1 species